rnacentral:rRNA from 1 species
AUUGAACGCUGGCGGCAGGCCUAACACAUGCAAGUCGAGCGGAUGAAGGGAGCUUGCUCCUGGAUUCAGCGGCGGACGGGUGAGUAAUGCCUAGGAAUCUGCCUGGUAGUGGGGGAUAACGUCCGGAAACGGGCGCUAAUACCGCAUACGUCCUGAGGGAGAAAGUGGGGGAUCUUCGGACCUCACGCUAUCAGAUGAGCCUAGGUCGGAUUAGCUAGUUGGUGGGGUAAAGGCCUACCAAGGCGACGAUCCGUAACUGGUCUGAGAGGAUGAUCAGUCACACUGGAAAUGGGACACGGUCCAGGCUCCCACGGGGGGCAGCAGGGGGGAAUUUUGGACAAGGGGCGAAAGCCUGAACCCGCCAUGCCGGGUGUGUGAAGAAGGUUUUCGGAUUGUAAAGCACUUUAAGUUGGGGGGAAGGGCAGUAAGUUAAUACUUUGCUGUUUUGACGUUACCAACAAAAUAAGCACCGGCUAACUUCGU